rnacentral:rRNA from 1 species
GAUUAACGCUGGCGGCGUGCCUAACACAUGCAAGUCGAACGAUGACACUUAGUAGACUUCUUCGGAAAGACACUAAGCGGCUUAGUGGCGAACGGGUGAGUAACGCGUGAGUAACCUGCCUUACACACGGGGAUAGCCUUUGGAAACGACGAAUAAUACCCUAUAAAACAAUGAAAGCGCAUGCUAGACUGGUCACAGUGGUAUCGGUCUAAGAUGGACUUGCGUCGGAUUAGCUAGUUGGCGAGCUAAAACCUCAACAAGGGGACGAUCAGUAGCUGGUCAGAGAGGAUGAUAAGCCACACUGGAACGGAGAAACGGUCCAGACUACUGGGGGAGGCACAAGUGGGGAAUAUUGGACAAUGGGAGCAAGGCUGAUCUAGCCAUACCGCGUGGGUGAAGAAGGCCUUGGGGUUGUAAAAACCUGAUGUUGGGAAAGAAAAGCAGCAGGUUAAUACACCGCUGUUCUGACGGUACCCAAAGAAUAAGCACCGGCUAACUACGUG